UAAGAUGCAUUAAUGGAAUUUUAUACACAAUACAUUUUCACUCCAUGAGAGAGAGGGAAGAGAGAGAGAGAGAGGAGCAAUUUUAUAUUCAAUCUUUCCACGUAAGAUCACUGAAUGGAGAACAACUACAGAAAUAAGAACAACACACGAGAAAAAAAAAAAAAGGAGAAAAGAAGUCAAAAAACAAGCUCGUCCCACCCUUCCACUUAAGCUUCUGCACCUAAAAUGCUAUCUCCUUCUCAUAAUUACGCACUUGGAGGCUUGUACAACUUCUCCACCAUCUUCCUAUAUUCUGCAAUAAACAGAGGUUUAACUUUUCAGAUUACUUCCAAAAAAAUAAAAAAUUCAGAUGAUUCCCAACCAAAAAAAGAUUCUGAAGUGUUGAAAAAGAAUGCAAGUAUCUUAACUACAUACCUUCUUGAUUGCACCAAAGUUGAGCAGCUUGAGUGUUUAGAGGCGAGCUUAUAUUUGGUUCUGGAGAUCAAAUUGCAAACAGAAAAAAAAAAUGAAAUGAAUCAACCGGCAUAGUCAAAUUAACUGGAUUUUUAUUAGAAACAUGUAUAUUCAGAUAAAGGGUCAAUUGCAUAGUCAAAUUUACCUCCAAGUAGGCUCUGGAUGGAUAGGAGUAUUGUUCGAACAUCAUAUGCGGAUGACCAUUUAUCCUACAAAAAAUAGCAUAGUCAAAUAAAUUUGCAUCCUGUAAAGCUGGUGGUUAUUCGAGUAAACUCAUGGAACAAAACACUGUGGGGUACUUACCUGAAGAAUAUCCAAGCAAAUGUUGCCAUAGACAUCCACAUUAGGAUGGAAGCAGCUGGUUUCAAACUUCACCUUUGGUGGCUUGAAGGGGUAGUCGUUUGGAAAAGAAAGGGAUAGCUUGUAUUCAGUCCCUUCAAAAACUGUGUCUUUACUUCCGGUGAUUGUUCCUUUCCAGCAAAAUAUGUUGUCUUCUUCAGGGAAGGCAGAUAUACCAGCUUCUCCACUCAUCAUCAACGCCAUCAAUUCAGAUUGCAACCGUUUGAGCACAGAUUGUGUAUCAACAGUCUUUGCCGUUGGCACAGUCUGCUUCGAUGGGGUCCCCGCCGGAGCUGCCAUGGGUGUGUUGCCUUGGUACCCAUUAACUGUAGCCAUUGUUUCUUUUGACGAAAAGAAAAGAAAACCCAAAACAAUAAUAGUUGAAACUGAGAUGGAUUUUGUUUCGGAAAAAUGGAAGAAGAGACUCAGGUAGGGUUUCUUUGACUUUCUUCGCGUUCGAGGGAGAGCGAGCUAGAGAGACGCGACUUAUAAGAAAGAGAGUCGGUGAAGUGAUGCUGCGCCGUUUAAGGGGUGAAGCAUGAGACAGGGAAGUUGAAAAACUUUUUUGAACGUUACAGUGACGGCGGCGUCGAUUCGAUUUUUCCGUUUUCUUUUUUAAUCUCCAACGGCUAGUUCACCGCUCUCUUUAAUUAUUUAGGGAACUUUAUAAUUUGAUUUUUAAGUUUGACUUUGUAUUUAUAUUUUAAUUUUUAAAUUUAAAAAAAAUUAAUUAUUCAACUUUUAAAUAUUUCACUGCAUU
rnacentral:misc_RNA from 1 species